GGUAAAAUGGCUGAUUUAUAGGUGAUAAAUUGUAAAUUUAUUUAUGGGAUUUAUUUCUCUUUUACUA
rnacentral:tRNA from 1 species